CCUACGGGGGGCAGCAGUAGGGAAUUUUCGUCAAUGGGCGCAAGCCUGAACGAGCAAUGCCGCGUGAACGAGGAAGGUCUUCGGAUCGUAAAGUUCUGUUGAAGGGGAAAAAGAGCGGAGAGAGGAAAUGAACUCCGAUUGAUAUUACCCUUCGAGGAAGUCACGGCUAACUACGUGCCAGCAGCCGCGGUAAUACGUAGGUGGCGAGCGUUAUCCGGAAUGAUUGGGCGUAAAGGGUGCGUAGGCGGCCUGCUAAGUCUGGAGUGAAAGGUACCGGCUCAACCAUUGUAUGCAUUGGAAACUGGUAGACUUGAGUGCAGGAGAGGAGAGUGGAAUUCCAUGUGUAGCGGUGAAAUGCGUAGAUAGAUGGAGGAACACCGGUGGCGAAAGCGGCCUGCUGGACUGCAACUGACGUUGAGGCCCGAAAGCGUGGGGAGCAAACAGGAUUAGAUACCCCGGUAGUC
rnacentral:rRNA from 1 species